UACUUCCUGCUUUCCUGAGGCCGCACAAACAGUUUGUCAGAGCCAAUGAAGACUGAUGGACGUUACUUCACAUAUGAGUCGGACUCUGGAUCAUCAUCUAUAUUUAAGCACACUGCACGUCUGCCUGAGCGUGUGAGAUUGUCCCGUCAGCGAGCUGUUGACCUGCAGUGGUUGCAAGAGCUGGUCCUGGAGUGAGGCUUCCUGUGUGUGACUUCCCUCUCGGAUGAUGUGAAGAGUGGUGGAGCUGUGUGAGAAAAAGCUCUGACCCACUGACACCAG